GUGGUACCGUCAAACCAUGAGGGUAUUAACCUCACGGGAGUUCUUCCCACUUGACAGAGCUUUACGACCCGAAAGCCUUCAUCACUCACGCGGCGUUGCUGCGUCAGGGUUUCCCCCAUUGCGCAAAAUUCCU
rnacentral:rRNA from 1 species